rnacentral:rRNA from 1 species
UACGGAAUGUGCAAACGUUAUUCGGAAUCACUGGGCUUAAAGAGUCCGUAGGCGGCAUGUUAGGUGAGGUGUGAAAUCCCCCGGCUCAACCGAGGAAUUGCGCUUCAAACCGGCGUGCUUGAGGAAGAUAGAGGUGGGCGGAACUGAUGGUGGAGCGGUGAAAUGCGUUGAUAUCAUCAGGAACACCGGAGGCGAGGGCGGCCCACUGGGUCUUUUCUGACGCUGAGGGACGAAAGCUAGGGGAGCGAACGGG